UUUACAACCACUGCAAAUGUCACACCCGCGAAGAACUCACUUGGGGGAUGGGACAAUCUGCGGAAAGGGCUUCCGAGGUGGCUCAGUGGUAAAGAACCCGCCUGCUGAUGCAGGAGACACAAGAGACGCAGGUUCAAUCCCUGGGUUGGGAAGAUCCCCUGGAGAAGGGCAUGGCAACCCACUGCAGUAUUCUUGCCUGGAGAAUCCCAUGGACGGAGAAGCCUGGCAGGCUAUAGUCCAUGAGGUUGCAAAGAGCUGGACACGACAGAAGCGAUGGAGCACACACGCAUGCGUGUUUAAAAGACGUGCCUACUCUGUAGUUCAGAAGGGGAGUGGGUGGCUUGGGUCGGAGCUCCUGGCGCUCGGGGAGGACCCGCUGAUGAGCACGGCUGAGAUGUCUCAGGCAUCUUCAGACAAGCAUGAGCGUCCGGGGAUGAGCCAGCAGUUCUCUGACAGCUGGGACAUGGCCAAGCUCAGGGAGGACGGUACCACAGCUGACCUCUGUGGGUGGGUGCCAGCCGAUCACCCUGCACGGCCUGCGAUGCUCCUUCCAGCCCGGCCUCGGCCACUGCGUCCAGGGCAGCAGCUUCCCCCCGGGAACAGAGAGACCGGAAGGGUAGGGCCCUGUCUCCCUCCCUCUAAGACAGCACACUCAUUCAGCUCCCUUCUUAUAUUUCUCCUCUCUUCUAUUAAACCUCCGCAGCUUGGACACCGGGGCUGGAAGGUUCCUGAGGUCGCCUGGCCCAGCCCUCCCCUGGUGCUUCAUCCGCUUGCACUCACCACCUUCCCAAAAUCAAUACAUAUCUCUGAGAAAAAAAACGAAAACUCAAAACUAACAACGUGCUUCUGGGCAAUAAACUUCCAUCCGCCAGUCACUUUCAUGCAGCUCCAGGCGAGGGGGGCGGGGGGGGGGGGGGGGCGACCUGACCAUGGGCCAUCGACCCCGGAGCACGGGGCCUGGCACCGAGUGACCCACGGCCACCCCAGCCUGAAGGUCGGGGAGCCCGGGAUCCCAGGCGUGAGGCAGGACAGCAAUGCGCAGUCUCUCCGGGCCACCCGGCAGGAACAGCGUCCCCAC
rnacentral:lncRNA from 1 species